GAUGAACGCUGGCGGCGUGCCUAAUACAUGCAAGUCGAGCGAAUGGAUUAAGAGCUUGCUCUUAUGAAGUUAGCGGCGGACGGGUGAGUAACACGUGGGUAACCUGCCCAUAAGACUGGGAUAACUCCGGGAAACCGGGGCUAAUACCGGGUAACAUUUUGAACCGCAUGGUUCGAAAUUGAAAGGCGGCUUCGGCUGUCACUUAUGGAUGGACCCGCGUCGCAUUAGCUAGUUGGUGAGGUAACGGCUCACCAAGGCAACGAUGCGUAGCCGACCUGAGAGGGUGAUCGGCCACACUAGGACUGAGACACGGCCCAGACUCCUACGGGAGGCAGCAGUAGGGAAUCUUCCGCAAUGGACGAAAGUCUGACGGAGCAACGCCGCGUGAGUGAUGAAGGCUUUCGGGUCGUAAAACUCUGUUGUUAGGGAAGAACAAGUGCUAGUUGAAUAAGCUGGCACCUUGACGGUACCUAACCAGAAAGCCACGGCUAACUACGUGCCAGCAGCCGCGGUAA
rnacentral:rRNA from 1 species